UAAUACAUGCAAGUCGAGCGGAAGAAGGGAGCUUGCUCCCGGAUGUUAGCGGCGGACGGGUGAGUAACACGUGGGUAACCUGCCUGUAAGACUGGGAUAACUCCGGGAAACCGGAGCUAAUACCGGAUAGUUCCUUGAACCGCAUGGUUCAAGGAUGAAAGACGGUUUCGGCUGUCACUUACAGAUGGACCCGCGGCGCAUUAGCUAGUUGGUGGGGUAAUGGCUCACCAAGGCGACGAUGCGUAGCCGACCUGAGAGGGUGAUCGGCCACACUGGGACUGAGACACGGCCCAGACUCCUACGGGAGGCAGCAGUAGGGAAUCUUCCGCAAUGGACGAAAGUCUGACGGAGCAACGCCGCGUGAGUGAUGAAGGUUUUCGGAUCGUAAAGCUCUGUUGUUAGGGAAGAACAAGUGCGAGAGUAACUGCUCGCACCUUGACGGUACCUAACCAGAAAGCCACGGCUAACUACGUGCCAGCAGCCGCGGUAAUACGUAGGUGGCAAGCGUUGUCCGGAAUUAUUGGGCGUAAAGGGCUCGCAGGCGGUUUCUUAAGUCUGAUGUGAAAGCCCCCGGCUCAACCGGGGAGGGUCAUUGGAAACUGGGAAACUUGAGUGCAGAAGAGGAGAGUGGAAUUCCACGUGUAGCGGUGAAAUGCGUAGAGAUGUGGAGGAACACCAGUGGCGAAGGCGACUCUCUGGUCUGUAACUGACGCUGAGGAGCGAAAGCGUGGGGAGCGAACAGGAUUAGAU
rnacentral:rRNA from 1 species